UCAUCUUCGGGGGUAGAGCACUGUUUCGACUAGGGGGUCAUCCCGACUUACCAACUCGAUGCAAACUACGAAUACCGAAGAAUGUUAUCACGGGAGACACACGGCGGGUGCUAACGUCCGUCGUGAAGAGGGAAACAACCCAGACCGCCAGCUAAGGUCCCAAAGUCAUAGUUAAGUGGGAAACGAUGUGGGAAGGCAUAGACAGCCAGGAUGUUGGCUUAGAAGCAGCCAUCAUUUAAAGAAAGCGUAAUAGCUCACUGGUCGAGUCGGCCUGCGCGGAAGAUGUAACGGGGCUAAACUAUGCACCGAAGCUGCGGCAGCGACACUUAGGUGUUGUUGGGUAGGGGAGCGUUCUGUAAGCCUGUGAAGGUGACCUGUGAGGGUUGCUGGAGGUAUCAGAAGUGCGAAUGCUGACAUAAGUAACGAUAAAGCGGGUGAAAAACCCGCUCGCCGGAAGACCAAGGGUUCCUGUCCAACGUUAAUCGGGGCAGGGUGAGUCGACCCCUAAGGCGAGGCCGAAAGGCGUAGUCGAUGGGAAACAGGUUAAUAUUCCUGUACUCGGUGUUACUGCGAAGGGGGGACGGAGAAGGCUAGGCUAUCCGGGCGACGGUUGUCCCGGUUUAAGCGUGUAGGGGGUGUGACUUGGUAAAUCCGGUCGCAUAUUAACCCUGAGGCGUGAUGACGAGUCACUACGGUGAUGAAGUAGUUGAUGCCAAGCUUCCAGGAAAAGCCUCUAAGCUCUAGGUAACAUUGAAUCGUACCCCAAACCGACACAGGUGGUCAGGUAGAGAAUACCAAGGCGCUUGAGAGAACUCGGGUGAAGGAACUAGGCAAAAUGGUGCCGUAACUUCGGGAGAAGGCACGCUGGCGCGUAGGUGAAGUCCCUUGCGGAUGGAGCUGAAGCCAGUCGAAGAUACCAGCUGGCUGCAACUGUUUAAUAAAAACACAGCACUGUGCAAACACGAAAGUGGACGUAUACGGUGUGACGCCUGCCCGGUGCUGGAAGGUUAAUUGAUGGGGUCAGCCGCAAGGCGAAGCUCUUGAUCGAAGCCCC
rnacentral:rRNA from 1 species